CAGACACAGAGGGAUACAGAGGAGUAAAUCGACACAGAAACGGAAACAGAGAAGGCAGUAACAGAAGUGUGCCUGGGAAGAAACCCCACAGUGGAGAUGAGAGGCCAAAGAGUGGGUAGGGCGAAUGAGGAAAAGCAGCAAAGUGUACUCCCUCACAGAGAGGCAGAGAAGUGCGUUAGAACCCUGGGGAAGCAAGCUGGGAACCUCCCUCGAAGCCUGUCUGUUUCACUGUGCUCUCCUUAUCAUAGACACCUGCCACAGGGUUUGGCAUUUCCCCUUUUCUGAUUGGCUGCCUCCCCAGGGCCUGGGCCUCAGUGCUGGUGGCCCUCUGGGGGUCGGGAGCGCAUAAAUAGUUCCUGCUGGGGAAACUGGGAAACUGGUCUCAGACAAGAGGAACAGACAUCUCUGCCACGCACUGCUGCCUGGAGCUGCAUGAGGUCCCAGUGCUGCCAGCGUGUCUUCUGUGUAUAGCCCCAUGCACCUCUGCCUCAGCCACAGCCCUUCCCCGCAGCAGCUCCCGCGGCCUGGCCUGGUAGAGCUGCAGUCCCAGGCCUCCUUCUACUCCUUCCUGGUACGACUGCAUGAACCCCAGAGACCCAAGAAGCGAGUAGUGUUUGCAGACACGAAGGGGAUCUCGUUGACAUCCGUGUACAAGUUUGAAGAUGCUGUGGGCAGACACGUGUCCCAUGUUCAGUUUCCUGCGCCCUGAGCCACCUGGCUGGCCAGAGCCACCACCUACGCUCUGGGCUUCCCCGCACCCAGGCAGGGUUCGGGGGUUCCAGAGGCGCCUGCAGGUGCAGAGUGUGCGCCCGGAGCAGCGUGCUGGGCAGGGGGCUUCCUGCGAGGCGCUGUCUAGCAGGCAGGCUGGGUUCCAGAAGGCAAGGCAGAUGCGCAUCACCUUUGAUGUCAGGGCUCCUUCCAAGAAGUGCCUAGUGUUCACACGGCCAGUCCUUGCAGAAGCGAGACUGACAGCUUCGCCUUCCAAGCCAUGUUGCCACUAGGUCCCCCAGGCCGGUGGGCACCAUUCAGUUCUGCUUCUGUUGUUGGGGAAAACAAUCAAGGGCAAACCUGUUGUUUGGUGCCCAGUUCUCAGUCACGCUCAUCACAAUGGCCUGGAAAGGCUGGACCAGGACUGCCAUCCACCCUGCUGGCCCCCAGGCUGUCAGCCCUGGAAUGCUCAGGAGGGCCUGCCCCAGCUGAUUCAAUCUGUAAAACAACCAGGUGGUUAACAGCGUAAAGCUAGAAGCAGCCAAACACACCGGCUUCCAGGGCCGCUCUGAACACAGCUGCAGCUUCCUCAUCUGAUAAGGAACGCUUUCAUAACUGCACCUGUUUCCUCCUGCUCCCUCUCCAGCCUUCUAGCCCUGCCUCCAUUAAGGGAUGAUCAGGAAUAGUGUCUCCUGCAGGUUUGAUUACUACAAGUCAGUGCUCACCCUGCCGUGAACUGGCAAAAUUGAGCCUGUAUAUUUUUAAAUUGAGGACCACGGUGUAGAUAUGGACUGAAAAACUUGUCUUCUUCAUUUUGCUCUUAACUGCAAAGUCUCUACUUCUUACAUCUGAGCAUUGUUGAAUUGAUCUGAUCCAACAUGUGCAUCGUCUGUAUUCUGAUGACUCUCACGUUUAUAUCACUAGCCUGAUCUCUCCUCCCAAUUCCAGACUCAUAUAUCAAAGAAUAGCAUCUCAAAUAGCAGUUGCAAAAAAAAUUAAAAAUAGAAUUACCACAUGAUCCAGCAAUCCCACGUUGAGGUAUAUAUUCAAGAGAGUUGAAAGCAGGAGCCCAGAUAUUUGUACAUUCACGAUCAUAGCAGCAUUACUCACAAUUGUUAAAAGGUGGAAGCAACUCAAAUGUCUAUACGUGGAGGACCGGGUAAAGAAAACGUGGUAUAUACAUACAGCAGGAUAUUAUUCAGCCUUAAAAAGGAAGGAAAUUCUGCCCCAUGCUACAACAUGGAUGAACCUGGAGGAUAUUAUGCUAAGUGAAAUAAGCCAGUCACAAAAAGACAAAUUUUGUAUGAUUUCACUUAUACUUCAUAUGAGUAUGAGCUAACAUCCAUGCCCAUCUUCCUCUACUUUAUACGCGGGAUGCCUACCACAGCAUGGCUUGAUGAGCGGUGCAAUGUCCGCACCUGGGAACCGAACCCGCGGACCCCAGGCCACCAAAGCGGAAUGUGCACACUUAACCGCUGCGCCACCGGGCCGGGGGUUUUUAUUUAAUGGGUAUUGAGUUUUCAUUUUUCAAGAUGAAAAAUUUCUAGAGAUCGGGUGUACAACAAUGUGAAUAUACUUAACACUACUGAACUGUGCCCUUAGAAAUGGUAAAGUUGGUAAGUUUUGUGUGUAUUUUACCACAACUAAUUUUUUUUAAAAAAAAAAGAACACAACUUUUGCUUAAUUUGGCUUUUUCUCUUGGUGCUUGGAAAUGAGCAUUGGUGUUGCUGGUUGUGUAGUAAACAGUUGUGGAUUCACCUCUUAAUGAAUGUUAAAGACUUUGUACGUUAAAAGGUGACCGUGGAAGGGAAAGGAAUUAUACAGCACACUUAUGGUGUUGUUCUACUGAGGGACAGAGUACCUUUCAAACGGAGUAUCUUCCCAGGUUCAUAGCACUGUGUGUCAUACACGCAGCAAACACAAUGAUUGUAGAG
rnacentral:lncRNA from 1 species